UUCUGUGUAUGGCACUGGUAGAAUUCACUGUGAAAGCGCACCAUCAGUGAAUUACCAUAGGGCCAUAAACAGAG
rfam:Scleropages formosus scaffold3541, whole genome shotgun sequence.